rnacentral:rRNA from 1 species
UACGGAGGGUGCAAGCGUUAUCCGGAUUUACUGGGUUUAAAGGGUGUGUAGGCGGAUUAUAAAGUCAGCGGUGAAAUCUCCGAGCUCAACUCGGAAACUGCCAUUGAUACUAUUAGUCUCGAAUAUUGUUGAGGUGUGCGGAACGGGUCGUGUAGCGGUGAAAUGCAUAGAUAUGACCCGGAACACCGAUUGCGAAGGCAGCCCACUAAGCAAUGAUUGACGCUGAGGCACGAAAGCGUGGGGAUCAAACAGG